AGAAGACAAAGAAGGUUGGCAUUGAGACCAUUGGGGAUGUAACCAUAGAGUAAAAAAAUGAGAGACUGCAACAAUCAUAUCUUCCCCAACAACCUCCCAAGCACACUGAAAAAAGCCCCAGAGAAACCAUCAGGGCCCAGAGCAUUGUCCUUAUCCAUAAAAAAAAUAGUGUCUAUGAUCUCCACAGCAGACGGCAGAGCAAGGAGCAUAUCAGCAGAGGUCUAAGAGACCGAAGCGGGAAUAUACUGAGAAAUCCAAGAUCUGUCCACC
rnacentral:lncRNA from 1 species